GGGGAUUUGGCUCAGUGGUAGAGCGCUUGCCUAGGAAGCGCAAGGUCCUGGGUUCAAUCCCCAGCCCCC
rnacentral:tRNA from 1 species